GAAGUUUGCUGAUAGAGAGGAUAUUGUUAUUGCUAAAAUGGAUUCCACAACAAAUGAGCUAGAAGAAGUACAAAUUAGAAGCUUCCCUACCCUCAAAUAUUUUGUUAAAGAAACUAAUGAAGUUAUUGAUUAUAAUGGUGAGAGAACUCUGGAGGGAUUAACUAAAUUUUUGGAAAGUGAUGGAAAAGAUGGUGCCGGCCCAUCAGACGAGG